UGGGGAAUAUUGCACAAUGGGCGAAAGCCUGAUGCAGCGACGCCGCGUGAGGGAUGACGGCCUUCGGGUUGUAAACCUCUUUCAGCAGGGACGAAGCGCAAGUGACGGUACCUGCAGAAGAAGCACCGGCUAACUACGUGCCAGCAGCCGCGGUAAUACGUAGGGUGCAAGCGUUGUCCGGAAUUACUGGGCGUAAAGAGUUCGUAGGCGGUUUGUCGCGUCGUUUGUGAAAACCAGCAGCUCAACUGCUGGCUUGCAGGCGAUACGGGCGGACUUGAGUACUGCAGGGGAGACUGGAAUUCCUGGUGUAGCGGUGAAAUGCGCAGAUAUCAGGGGGAACACCGGUGGCGAAGGCGGGUCUCUGGGCAGUAACUGACGCUGAGGAACGAAAGCGUGGGUAGCGAACAGG
rnacentral:rRNA from 1 species